GGGCACAGAGAUGGAGCCUUUCAGUUCGGCUGGAUCGGAGACAGGUGCUGCAUGGCUGUCGUCAGCUCGUGUCGUGAGAUGUUGGGUUAAGUCCCGCAACGAGCGCAACCCUCGCCCUUAGUUGCCAUCAUUCAGUUGGGCACUCUAAGGGGACUGCCGGUGAUAAGCCGGAGGAAGGUGGGGAUGACGUCAAGUCCUCAUGGCCCUUACAGGUUGGGCUACACACGUGCUACAAUGGCGGUGACAGAGGGACGCAAUGGAGUAAUCCUGCGCAAAUCUCAAAAAGCCGUCUCAGUUCGGAUUGUGCUCUGCAACUCGAGCACAUGAAGUUGGAAUCGCUAGUAAUCGCAGAUCAGCACGCUGCGGUGAAUACGUUCCCGGGCCUUGUACACACCGCCCGUCACACCAUGGGAGUUGGCUUUACCUGAAGACGGUGCGCUAACCGCAAGGAGGCAGCCGGCCACGGUAGGGUCAGCGACUGGGGUGAAGUCGUAACAAGGUAGCCGU
rnacentral:rRNA from 1 species